AGAGUUUGAUCAUGGCUCAGGAUGAACGCUAGCGGCAGGCCUAAUACAUGCAAGUCGAACGGUAAAUAUUUUAGCAAUAGAAUAUGAGAGUGACGUACGGGUGCGUAACACGUAUGCAACCUACCCUUUACAGGAGUAUAGCUCGGGGAAACUCGGAUUAAAGCUUCAUAACAUAGUUGAAUGGCAUCAUUGAAUUAUUAAAUCUACGGAGGUAAAGGAUGGGCAUGCGUCUGAUUAGUUAGUUGGCGGUGUAACGGACCACCAAGACGAUGAUCAGUAGGGGAACUGAGAGGUUGAUCCCCCACACUGGCACUGAGAUACGGGCCAGACUCCUACGGGAGGCAGCAGUAAGGAAUAUUGCGCAAUGGGCGAAAGCCUGACGCAGCGACGCCGCGUGGGGGAUGAAGGUCUUCGGAUUGUAAACCCCUUUCGGGAGGGAAGAUGGAGCGAGCAAUCGCUCGGACGGUACCUCCAGAAGCAGCCACGGCCAACUACGUGCCAGCAGCCGCGGUAAUAC
rnacentral:rRNA from 1 species